rnacentral:rRNA from 1 species
GAAUUCAACUCCUACGGGAGGCAGCAGUCGAGAAUCAUUCACAAUGGGGGAAACCCUGAUGGUGCGACGCCGCGUGGGGGAAUGAAGGUCUUCGGAUUGUAAACCCCUGUCAUGUGGGAGCAAAUUAAAAAGAUAGUACCACAAGAGGAAGAGACGGCUAACUCUGUGCCAGCAGCCGCGGUAAUACAGAGGUCUCAAGCGUUGUUCGGAAUCACUGGGCGUAAAGCGUGCGUAGGCUGUUUCGUAAGUCGUGUGUGAAAGGCGCGGGCUCAACCCGCGGACGGCACAUGAUACUGCGAGACUAGAGUAAUGGAGGGGGAACCGGAAUUCUCGGUGUAGCAGUGAAAUGCGUAGAUAUCGAGAGGAACACUCGUGGCGAAGGCGGGUUCCUGGACAUUAACUGACGCUGAGGCACGAAGGCCAGGGGAGCGAAAGGGAUUAGAAACCCCAGUAGUCCAGGCGUU